GGGAUAGCUCAGUCAGUAGAGCACCAGACUCUUAAUCUCAGGGUCAUGGGUUCAAGCCUCAUGUUGGGUCA